CAUGCAAACUGCCGGUGCCGCUCCCAGGUGUUCCCGUCAGGACAGGUGGCCUCCUCCACCGGAUGCCCACGGGCGAUACAAUCCUGCUGGCGGCCACAGCGCGGACGACUGCCAGGCGCAGUACUACAGAAAUCCAACCCCAAACGCUCGCUCCCUUGAGUCUCAACGCACAAACUACGGAGCACAGGUCUCGGGGCAGAGAAUGGCUGCGGAGAAGUUAUACAAGUUUCCACCGAGCCAGUGGGGGCUCCCGAGAAGAAUAUGAAUACACGUUCCACACUUUGCAAGCCAGAGACUGCAUCCUAGAGGAAUGAGUCACUUCUACAUUAAUCCAACCUAAUCCUUCAGCCUGUGGUGACACGACAGAACAGUGAGUGAACGAGAUCCUACAGGAACACGGAUGGUAUUAAGCAUCUACGUAUCUGCCAGGCAGAGAGAGCCAUGUUGGGCACCUCUCUGAGCUUCAUUUUCCCACAAGGCAGGAAUGCCUGCUGUUUGUGAAACCUGCUGCUGCCUUUUGAAAUAUUGACACCAUCCCAUCACUGCUCCACUGCCUUCUGGGACUCAGAGCCUGGGUGGAGCUGAAGCAGAGGCAACAGGGACUACUGUCCCUUUCCCUGGAGAAUGACAGUCACCAACUCGUGAUCUUCGUGACCCAGGAAAGGGGAGUGAAGACUCUGUGCAUACCCAGUUCAGCAGCUCGAUCUUCCGGGGGUAUUGCAUUCAUGAGAUGAAAACAGGCUGGCAUGAAAAUGGAACCAUCAAGAAGAAACCCUAAAGACGCCUGGGUGACUCAUCAGAUGAGUGCCUGCCUUUGGCCCAGGGCAUGAUCCUGGAGUUCCAGGAUGGAGUCCCACAUCGGGCUCCCUGUGUGGAGCCUGCUUCUCUCACUGCUUCUCUCUCUGCCUAUGUCUCUGCCUCUCUCUCUCUUUCUCUCUGUGUCUCUCAUGAAUAAAUAAAAUAUUUUUUAAAAAAGAAGAAAGCCUAGAGUCGUUUAUGACACAUACUCACACCUGCACUGCUCGACAACCAUAUCACACACAUGAACAUCCUUUUACACAUUACACAUAGCACACACACAGAGAUACCACAGAUAUAUACCACACACACACACAUUGAACCGUACACGUAUGUCACACACCACACCACACAACAUAACAUAUACCCACACACAUGCUACACACAGACACAUACACCCCAUGUCCCAAAGACCAUACACACACACACACACACACACACACACACACACAGAAUUCUCUAGGCCUCCAGGGUGCCAUGGAACUGAAUUUUUUUAAAAAAAUGCUAUCAAUGCAAUCAUUGUAUUUAAUUUUAAUGGGCAUUUUCUUUCUUCUUUUUCUUGAAAAGGGUAAAUCCCACUUUCCACUGGCAAAGAUAAAAUAUUUGCUGGUAAAAAAAAUACAUUUGCUGGUUAUUUCUUCAAGAACACUGGUUUGAAUCUGUAAUUACUGCUAGUAGCUCUUCUUGCUGGUUCUUUGAAGUUAAAUGGUGACAUCUGCUAAUAAUCCUAAUGGAUUGCAUAUUGGAUCAUCAGAAACCCCAGGUAAUUUCCUAAGAUCUGUGUCAUGAGGGAGAACAUACUAAU